GUAAAGCGAGCGCAGGCGGAAAAAUAAGUCUAAUGUGAAAGCCCUCGGCUUAACCGAGGAACUGCAUCGGAAACUGUUUUUCUUGAGUGCAGAAGAGGAGAGUGGAACUCCAUGUGUAGCGGUGGAAUGCGUAGAUAUAUGGAAGAACACCAGUGGCGAAGGCGGCUCUCUGGUCUGCAACUGACGCUGAGGCUCGAAAGCAUGGGUAGCGAACAGGAUUAGAUACCCUGGUAGUCCAUGCCGUAAACGAUGAGUGCUAAGUGUUGGGAGGUUUCCGCCUCUCAGUGCUGCAGCUAACGCAUUAAGCACUCCGCCUGGGGAGUACGACCGCAAGGUUGAAACUCAAAGGAAUUGACGGGGGCCCGCACAAGCGGUGGAGCAUGUGGUUUAAUUCGACGCAACGCGAAGAACCUUACCAGGUCUUGACAUCUAGUGCAAUCUGUAGAGAUACGGAGUUCCCUUCGGGGACGCUAAGACAGGUGGUGCAUGGCUGUCGUCAGCUCGUGUCGUGAGAUGUUGGGUUAAGUCCCGCAACGAGCGCAACCCUUGUUAUUAGUUGCCAGCAUUAAGUUGGGCACUCUAAUGAGACUGCCGGUGACAAACCGGAGGAAGGUGGGGAUGACGUCAAGUCAUCAUGCCCCUUAUGACCUGGGCUACACACGUGCUACAAUGGGCAGUACAACGAGAAGCAAGCCUGCGAAGGCAAGCGAAUCUCUGAAAGCUGUUCUCAGUUCGGACUGCAGUCUGCAACUCGACUGCACGAAGCUGGAAUCG
rnacentral:rRNA from 1 species